UACGAAGGGGGCUAGCGUUGUUCGGAAUUACUGGGCGUAAAGCGCACGUAGGCGGAUACUUAAGUCAGGGGUGAAAUCCUGGAGCUCAACUCCAGAACUGCCUUUGAUACUGAAGAUCUUGAGUUCGGGAGAGGUGAGUGGAACUGCGAGUGUAGAGGUGAAAUUCGUAGAUAUUCGCAAGAACACCAGUGGCGAAGGCGGCUCACUGGCCCGAUACUGACGCUGAGACACGAAAGCCAGGGGAGCAAACGGG
rnacentral:rRNA from 1 species